UUUGUGGAAUAAUUUGGUGGCAAAGAAGGUAGUGUAUGAUUCUACAUUUCCACAUUUAUUAGCUAUGUCAUUGGUUGAGUUAUUUACUUUUCUAUGAUUCAAUUAAUCAAUAUCUAAAAUAUAUUUUCUGGGCAGCCCUGGUGGCUCAGCAGUUUAGCACCACCUUUGGCCCAGGGUGUGAUCCUGGGGACCCGGGAUCGAGUCCCACAUCGGGCUCCCGGCAUGGAGCCUGCUUCUCCCUCUGCCUGUCUCACUCUCUCUCUCUCUCAUUAAUAAAAAAAUUAAAUCUUUAAAAAAAUAAGAUAAAUAAAAUAUAUUUUCUUACAUCGCUGAUAGUAAUGUACACUAGUAUAAACACUUUUGAACACCCUCCUAGAGCUCUUCUAACAUUAAAGUUCAUACACACACACACACACACACACACACAUAUAUGGAAGAACAUGUAGAAACAUGUAGAAGAAUAUAAUCACAGAUUUAUUUAUGAUAGCCUAAUAUUGAAAGGUUUCCAAAUGUCUUUAUCCCUAGAAUGAGUUUUAAAAAGUGUAAAAUAUUCAUAAAUAUAAUUCUAUACAGCAAUGGAAAACACACUACUAAUACACAUGGUAUAGGUGCAUCUUAACCACAGUGAGAGAGAGAAAUUAGAAACAAAAUAAUAGAAAUUAAUGCUUUAUUUAUAUUACUUCAAAACAAGCAAACUAAUUUAUGAUGAUAGAUGUCAGAAUAAUUAUUACUCUUCAGUGGGGAUACUAACUGGAAAGGGCACAAGGAAAUGUUCUAAAAUGAUGGAAGUAUUAUAAAUCUUGAUCUGGGAGGCAGUUAAAUAGCUUUUGUCGUAUGUAAACAUUUAUUUAGUUGUAUAUAUUAUAUUUGUGUACUUGCUAUAUGUAAAAUAUACUUCAAAAAUUAGAGAAUUGAUAGAAGGUAGGUAAUUAGAGAAAGCCUGGGUAAAUGAUUAUUGAGAAAAUGAAAUGUUUUAAUCAAAAGGAUUAUAACAGGGCUGCUGGGUGGCUCAGCUGGUUAAGCAUCUGACUUAUGAUUUUGCCUUAGGUCGUGAUCUCAGGGCCAUGAGAUGGAGCCCCACGUUAAGCCUGCUUAAGAUUCUUUCUCUCCCUCUCCUUCUGCCCUUUUCCUCUUGCUCUGUCUCUCUUUCUCUAAAAAGAAAAGGAUCACAGCAUCCCUGGUUAAUCUAUUUUCUCUCCUGUCCAAUAUGUAGUUACUAGCUAUUUAAAUUCAAAUUUAGUUAAAAUUAUAUACAAGUAAAAAUUUAGUUUCUCAGUUGCUCUAGCCACAUUUUAAGUGUUCAAUAACCAUAUGUGGCUAAUGGACCACAAUACUGGCAACAAAGAUUUUAAAAUGAAUUUAUCAUUGAAGAAAGUCAUAUAUAGCCAACAUGUCCCUUCAGUCUUUGCAAUGCUGAAAAUGAUAUGCUGGAAAGGAUACAAUAAAUACCUGAAUAUUUAUGUAUUUAUGUACAUAUAAAAGAUAGAAACUAGACACAAACUUUAUACUUGUCACAAAAAAUGAACUCAAAAUGUAUCAUAGACCAAAUAUAACCUGGAAAAUUAUAUAAAUCUAGAAUAUAAUGUAAAAAAUUUAAGAGACCACAGGUUUGGUGAUAGGUUUUCAGACACGACACCAAAAGUAUGACCAAUGUAAGAAAAAAUUAAAGUUAGACUUUAUUAAACUGUAAUCUUCUGCUUUGCAAAAUAUGCUGUAAGGUGAAUGAAAAUACAUGCUACAAACCAGGUGAAAUUGUUUACAAACCACAUCUAUGAUAAAAGAGUUGUAUCUAAAUAACAAAAAUUACUUAAAAUUCAACAAUAAAAAGGCAACCCAAUAGAGUGUGGACAAAAUGAUCUGAACAAACACUCCACCAAAAUAAGAUAAAUAGAUGACAAAUAAGCAUAUGAAAACAUGCUCAACAUCAUCUGUAAUUAGGGAACAGGAAACCUAAACAACAAUGAGAUGGCACUUCACACCUAUCAGAAUGGCUGGAGUCCAAAGACCUUAACAAAGCAUAUGCUGGCAAGAAUGUAGAGCCACAGGAACUUAAUUCAUUGCUUACAGAAAUGCAAAACGGUACACCAACUUUGGGGAUGUUUGGCAGUUUGGCAGUUGUGCUUCUGGGUAUUUAUCCAAAAGGACUGAAAGCACUAUGUCCACAUAAAAACCUGCACAUAAAAUUUUAUAACACCUUCAUUCACAAUCACUUAGAAGCCACCAAGAUGUCCUUCAACAAGUGAAUGGAUAAACUGUGCUGCAUCCAUAUGAUGACAUAUUAUUCAGUGAUAAAAAGAAUUUAGCUCUUAAGCCAUCAUAAGGUAUGUAUGAACCUUCAGAUCACAUUGCUAUGUGAAAGAAGCAGUCUGAAAGGCUACUUACUGUAUGAUCCUGAUUAAAUAAUAUUCAGGAAAUAGACUAUAGAGAGUAGAUGGAUUAGUGGUUGUCAGGGGUUUGGGAGUUGACAGAAUAGGUGAAACAAAGGGGAUUUUUUUCAGUUCAGUAAAACUUUUUUUUUUUUAAUGAUACUAUAAUAGAUGGGUACACAAUAUCAUAUAUGGGUCAAAAUCUAUAAAGCUUUAUAGCACAAAAAGUGAAAGUUACUUAUGAAAAAAUUUAAAACGUCUCCUUUAAGACAUGGAGAGGUUCUAGGAUGGAAAAUAGAUGGUGACAAAAUAAUUGACUAUUUCAAAUAUAUGAAGCAAUGUCACUGAAGGGGGUGGAAAGAAAAGGCACUGACCUCUCAGUAACUCUGAAAAUGAGUGGAAUUAUAUGACUGAAGUCAAAGGAACUACACAUAAGCCCUGUGUUCUAGUUAAUAAGGUAGUUUCCCCUGAAGGAAUAGGGUAACUUCUGAUACUACUAUCCAUGUCUAUAGAAAUUGAACAAUUAAGUAACUAGAUCCAGAAAGUGGGAGUGAAGUUUCUCACUAUUUGGAGUGGGAAUUUCCAGAAAACUAAGAGGGAAAGUUUAGAAUGACUCAUAUGCUAAUGACAUAGACUUGGGAAUAUGAGGAUGAACUCAUGCUUAGCUUAAUGUAGAUACAAAUACAUAAUAGAAAUACCUAUACAAAUAGAAAGAUAAACAUGGGUUAGUGUAAACUUUACAUGUAUGUCUUUGUUACAUCAGCUGACUUGGGUUAGAAGCAAUGGCACUUUGGUAGACGUGAGCAUACCUGGUGACCAUAUAUUGGUUCCUCAUAUUAUUC
rnacentral:lncRNA from 1 species